AUGUGCGAGCUUUCCAUCAUUACCUCAACUUUUGUCUUUGCUCUGCACUCCAUCUACCUUUGAUUGACUCCCGUACCUUGAGCUUCACAACCGCCAUACAACUAUUAUCCAAUGGAUCCAGCGACAUCUGCCACGUUUGAAUUUACCCAGCAAGAUUACACACGGAUCAUCCUACAGGACUCGCUUUUCAACAACGCCACUGCACAGAGCAACUCAGGUCUGACUACGAAAUCAUUACAAAAACUAGAAGAGCGAGAAACACGCCUCUUCCUACAUGCAGUGACAUUGAGUGAUUAUAUGCGAGCCAAACGAAUACCUAGAGGCUUACGAAUCAAUAAGGGCCCAAUCAUGGGUAAGGAUAACUCCAACUUUUGUGAUCAAUGGACUGCAAUUCUAAACAAAUGCUCAUUUGAUUUGAUGGCACUGACGAUUCAGGAAGUUACAGCUAACCUCGCGACAGUACGCGACGAGAUUUCAGAACUCAAAACUAAACUUGGCACGGAAGUGAAUGACCCAGUGAUACUCAAACAGAAACUAGAGGAAUGUGAGCAACACAAACAAGAAUUAACCAAAGAAAUCACAGUGUCAAAAAGGAGGAAGUUCGAACGCGACACACUGGACUACGAACGUGGCCGAGUCUACCAGUGGAGAAAUCCAACACCAAAAACUCGCUCUGUACAACAACCCCCAGCGAGAAGACAUCGCAACACGCGCGCUUCCCAGCAGGUGAUGACCACCACGGACGAAUACGAGUCAGAAUCCAGUAACUUCUCUCAAACCAGUGGUCCUUUUUUAGGGGGCAGAACAAACCAAGGACAAAGACGCCUACCACCACGAGGCAAACAACAAAGAAACCGUGCAGACGGUCGCUAAAAAAGAAGAGACGCCAAGAGCCACAGUUUCAGUGCUACACCAACACCAACCGACCACAAUGCAGAGUUGGGAGCCGCCGCAGCAACCCCAGAGACCAGCGAAGAGCAGAAUGAUCACUCGACUACCACAUUCAGAGAUCUCAGGGACCAGCAUGGGAUCGAAGAUGGCCCCGAGCUUCGCCUCCUUG